CCAUCCUUCUUGUUUUCGAGGAUUCUGUUCGUGCUAUCAUGAUAACUAGUACUGCAGGACUUGCACUGUAUUGUAAUCGACGGCUGUAAGGGAUGAGCAUCCAACACUGUUGGAAUCGACGAAUCGUAUGUCUUGCUAGCUAGAUCGUGCAACAAGACGUGUCUGCCAACAAUUAUACAGGAGUAUACUACUCCACUUUCAAAUAGCAUAUUGGCCGGCUUUAUCUAUUUACUAUGAAGACACACAUAUUCGGUGAGGACCUGGUGU
rnacentral:lncRNA from 1 species